GCCUCCGUAGAUCAGCGGUAGAUCGCCCUGGCAAAAUGGGAAAUAAGGCUGAGUCCUUAACAGGGAGCCGUGGGUUCGAAUCCCACCAGAGGCA